rnacentral:lncRNA from 1 species
AUGGGUGGUUGUCUUUGCAAGAACAAGAGGCCCUGUGUGUUCCCUAUGAGAGUUACUUUUCGUAAGACCAGGGGGAAAAAGGCAUCUGAGUCUGUAGUUAUGUUCUGUGAUGCUUCAACAUGGACUGGGGAGAACCAUUUUUAUUCAGCACGCAUAGGAAGGACCCCCAGAGCCCCCAGACUUUAUCUUGUGGAAUCAGAUUCCUUAAACACCCCUGAAUGUGAAUCUGCUGACCAAGAUAGAAGGGACACAGGAGCUGCAUCCCAGCACAUAGAACACACUGAGGCCACGCUUUGUGCCUCUUCUAGAGAUGCACACAAUAGUGAGGAGCCACAGGACCCUGAAACCAAACCCAACACAGAGAGGAUGAAGAACCAGGAGCUUGCUGAACAGCCAAAACACGAAGCCCAAUCUGUCAGAUGCAAUCUACAAGAGAUGAAUAAAGCUCAAGCUCAUGAGCAUCCUACUGGUGCCUUUAUACCCCAUGAGCAACUCAGCUGCAGGGAUGAUGAAGUGAGGCCUCAUACAAAGACAAUUGUAAAGGUUGAAGUCCAUGUGUCUGCAGAUGCCCAAGGUGAGGUCUGGCCUGCUACAGUGGAGUCAGUUCCUGCAGAAGAAGAUGCUACAGUUCUGUGUAAUUCAGAGGAAACUUGUGAGGCAAAGGAUCAUCAAGAAGUGCCUGUGGAAGAGGCAGCUGAGUCCCCACCUGCUCUGUGUACCAUGCAGGAGUCAGAGCUGCUUUUGGAGACCGUGGAGACAAGAGAAGACAUCACAAGUAUGCAGAGGUCUGCAGAAAAGCAAGAAGAAGAAGAGAAGGAGCACUUUGCUGCUAAAGCCUCACCUGAUCUCCACUUGGAGCGUGAUAAAGAGGUGGCUCUUCAUGAGCAUGCAAAAGAAAAUGCUUUUGAAUCGGAGCAAGCUGAAGAACAGGCUGAGGUUGGUGAUGAUGGACAAACAUCAAUUGAGAAGCCGUGCUGCCUGGUAGAAACCCAAGCUGCUCUGCAGGAUGAGGAGGAGAUUAAAGCCAGCAAUGGGGAAAAGCAGCCUGCUGAUGAGCAGUGCUGA